UAAUGAGAUGGAACAAUCUAUGCCCCAAUUCAGCAGGAAGUAGCAAGAUUGGUCAUCACCCCAAAUCCCUCAAGAAUGAGGAAUGAUCAAAGAAUAGUGGGAUUGAAACUGGUGGCCAGAUAGCCAUUAAUAAUUAUUCUUAAAAGUCAUGUAGAUAAGCAAUAUAUUAUCAGAAUCCCACCAGGUUUCUUAUAGAUAACAUCUCUGACUCGAGUUACCAUGGUAAUGGGUACUUAAGUUGUUUUUCAGGAACUGAGAGUCAACUCCUUGUCCAGUUCAGGCCAGUCGAGACCAUCAACCCAUCAACUAAGCCUGUGCAAAUGUCCCAUAGGUGACCCUUUGACAUCAGGGUCCGAAAACUCCACCCUCAGAUCAUGCUAAUGC